GCGGCUACUGCGCUGCAUCUACUACUUUCUACUACUGCGCUGCCUCUACUGGUCUCGAAGCAGCACAGGUGACAUGGGAGAACUAAAUCCAACUGGACUAUUCUCAUCUCCUCUUGAACUAGUGCCUCUAGCAGAUCCAAGAAAAGGUAUGCAUCCAGCAGGAGAUGCUGGACUGCUACUUGAGCCUGCUCCAAAUGCUCCUGGAGGGUACUGCCCCAUGUUACCUUGGUAAGCAACACCAUGGUAGCCUGGAGGUAUGGAUGGAACUUGCUGGUUGUUUGGGCUCUGUGCAUCUGAAGGUGAGAAGGAGGAGUUCAUCAUGCUUGUGAAGCUUUGAGAAGAUGAGUGCUCCAUGUUUUGGGGGAGAGUUUUUCCAAGAUCUUCUUGUGCUUCUAUGAGCUUGUUCUGUACAUUUUAUAGACAGAUUCUCCAAACGGGUAGAUUUUUCUACAGCAGUGCAACGGUCAUCUGGAAAUUUGAGUGCUCUGGU